AGUCUAUGUCCUUGUUUGAUCCUUGCCCCAUGGGAGUGGCCAUCUUUAAGUCUUCCUUGGUCAGAAGCAACAUUUAUCCGACCAAAGAGGAGAGUUACUGGCUGUUCAUGUAUCAUGAAGCCAUUAACAAGCACUGAGCAUCCCUGAGGUGGUUUUAGACACAGAUUAGCCAUGGUCCUCUGCUAAGUGGUUUUUCCAACAAUUAGUGUAAAAUAUGGCUACCUCGGUGGGGCAAGGAGGGGAGCAGGGAACAUGUUACAAUUUCUUUCAACUCUUUCACAUCAUUAUUAAUUUCAACCACCUUUGCUGGAAGUUCUUUUCAUGGG